GUGCAAGAGCAUAAGGGUGCUUGACUGCGAGACAGACACGUCGAGCAGGUACGAAAGUAGGUUCUAGUGAUCCGGUGGUUCUGUAUGGAAGGGCCAUCGCUCAACGGAUAAAAGGUACUCCGGGGAUAACAGGCUGAUACCGCCCAAGAGUUCAUAUCGACGGCGGUGUUUGGCACCUCGAUGUCGGCUCAUCACAUCCUGGGGCUGAAGUCGGUCCCAAGGGUAUGGCUGUUCGCCAUUUAAAGUGGUACGCGAGCUGGGUUUAGAACGUCGUGAGACAGUUCGGUCCCUAUCUGCCGUGGGCGUCGGAAGUUUGAGAAGAGCUGCUCCUAGUACGAGAGGACCGGAGUGGACGAACCUCUGGUGUUCCGGUUGUCACGCCAGUGGCAUUGCCGGGUAGCUAUGUUCGGACGGGAUAACCGCUGAAAGCAUCUAAGCGGGAAGCCCCCUUCAAGAUGAGACUUCCCUGAGGCCUUGCGCCUCCUGAAGGGCCCUUGAAGACUACAAGGUUGAUAGGCUGGGUGUGGAAGCACAGCAAUGUGUUGAGCUAACCAGUACUAAUUGCCCGUGAGGCUUGACC
rnacentral:rRNA from 1 species